UACGAAGGGUGCAAGCGUUAAUCGGAAUUACUGGGCGUAAAGCGUGCGUAGGCGGUUUGUUAAGUCUGCUGUGAAAUCCCCGGGCUCAACCUGGGAAUGGCAGUGGAUACUGGCAAGCUAGAGUGUGUCAGAGGAUGGUGGAAUUCCCGGUGUAGCGGUGAAAUGCGUAGAGAUCGGGAGGAACAUCAGUGGCGAAGGCGGCCAUCUGGGACAAUACUGACGCUGAGGCACGAAAGCGUGGGGAGCAAACAGG
rnacentral:rRNA from 1 species